rnacentral:lncRNA from 1 species
GAGCACCUGAACCUAUAUUUCGAGAAAAUGCAGCCCAUAUCCAAAGAUGUGGGUCAGUACCAUGGAGAAGAACCGAGUAUAUGGAAGUGUAUGCAGUUUUAUAAACAUCAUCAUCAUAAAUAUUUAUAAGAAAUAUGCAGGAUGUAUGAAAGACUCACAUAGCCCGAAGAAAAUCAUCAUAAUCAUGAGAGGAUAAAAUAAGUAUAAUAACACAUGUGAGUCAUCAUAUAAUUUGUCAAUCACUUUCAGUUCAUCAAGAAUAUCGAUUCUCAUAAUGUAAAUAUCAUUUAAAUCUUUCGAAAGAAUAACUUUUGCAAUUCCACUUCCAAAUCACUUAACCGUUCACCAUAGACACAAGGAAACACACACAUACUAGGAGAUCCUAUAACUGACAUAAACCAUGUAAGCUACAUGGAUUCCAACGUACAACCCAAGUUGGGGAGAGCCGUCCUAUCCUUCCCAUCGGAGUAGGACUAUCGAUAUUAAAUCCACACAAACUAGUGAUCACUCUAUAAAU